GACUAUUAAAUUAAAAAAAUAUCAUUAGAUUGUUCAUCCCAAAAAAUUAAAAAAACCCUAAGCUGUUCCAUUGCGGUUCCUUCUGAGCUUCUUCACUCGCAAACUCCUAUGUUCAUCCGAAUUCCUCCAAUUGGAGAUCGUUUGUUCAGAUUAUCUGAGUGAGGUUUCUUGGACUAGAUUCAGGGCAUCUGUUUCAGGGAAAUUAGCAAAUCAGAGAGAAGGAUGAACAAGUUCGCUUGAAGACGAAGGAUAACAGACGAUUUCCAGGGGAUUAGCAGCGAGGCGACUCGUGAUUGGGCAAAACUAAUCGUAGCAAUGGCAUGUGGAGGAGAUCCUUACGUGAAGCUUGAGUUGGAAUGAUAUGGACUAACAUUGCG